GACGAACGCUGGCGGCGUGCUUAACACAUGCAAGUCGAACGGAAAGGCGCUGCUUUUGUGGGGUGCUCGAGUGGCGAACGGGGGAGUAACACGUGAGUAACCUGCACUUGACUUUGGGAUAACUUCAGGAAACAGGGGCUAAUACCGGAUAGGAUCUCCUGCUGCAUGGUGGGGGUUGGAAAGUUUCGGCGGUUGGGGAUGGAAUCGCGGCUUAUCAGCUUGUUGGGGGAGUAGUGGCUUACCAAGGCUUUGACGGGUAGCCGGCCUGAGAGGGUGACCGGCCACAUUGGGACUGAGAUACGGCCCAGACUCCUACGCGAGGCAGCAGUCGAGAAUAUUGCAGAAUGGGCGGAAGCCUGAUGCAGCGACGCCGCGUGCGGAAUGACGGCCUUCGGGUUGUAAACCGAUUUCGCCUGUGACGAAGCGUGAGUGACGGUAAUGGGUAAAGAAGCACCGGCUAACUACGUG
rnacentral:rRNA from 1 species